UUUUUUUUUUUUUAACAUCACUGGUAAGUUUUUCUUAAUAUCAGUUUGUAUGUAGGAUUAACAGGGAAAUAAGUUAAUGCUCUUUCGGUACUUAACAGCCAAGGGUUAAAUGUAAAUGUGAGACAUGGAUCUCCACAUUUUAUAAUAUUCCUGACUCAGAUUCUACAGUAGUAGGUCAUUGGUAAGUCUAUAAAUAAUGUUGAUUUUCUAUGUUCAUUGUUUCUAAUGUUGCAAACUAAUGCUUAUGCCAUGGUACCAUCUAUUUCAAAUCGAUUUCCUGCAAAUGCCUUUCACAACUAUAUUGCUUAUAUUAAUAAAUUAAAACACGGCAUAUUUGGACAAUGUUAUUUUUCUUGUUCCACACAACUAUGCAGAGAUCCAAAAAGAUUAUGCAGGAGAUAAAAUUGUUUACAGAAACUCUUCUUCAGAAGGGUUUAUGAAAUUAUUCUUCCACUAUUAAAAAUGAGAAAUCACAAAACAGGGAGAUUAUAACAAAUCCUUGGCAUAAAUUCACAUGAAGACUGCCUGCCAACAUUUUAAUUAAGGAGAAUAGGUUGGCUUAUCAAAUAUAAUUGAGAGAAUAUUGACCAAAGAUUGGUUUGUCUAAAAGGCAGUUGAUGGGACAUGAGGUUCUAGACAAGCAUCUCUCCUGUUCCCCCUUGACAUCCAUUAAAAAGGAACAUUCUCCUUUACUUGGCCUUCCAAGAGCUGAAACGGUUAAAUCAAAAUGCCCAGCUGGAUCUGACAGCCAGGUUCUCUGGAAGUAUAAAGCCUUCUGAUGCUGAAGGAACUCUUUCAGGGUAGAUACCAAAGGGAUUCCCAGGCCUUUGGGGACCCAGGAGGAUACCCAUGCAGGAGAAGGGUUCAUGCCCCACCCUGGCUAUAACUUGGGCCCCAACAAAUUCUCUGAUUAGAUUUGCUGAACUACUUCUAAAUGCAGAACGACAUAGAUUUACCCUGCCAGCACACAGAAAUAACUUCCUGAGAUUAAAAAAAUGACAUAUAUUCAAGAAAAAAAUGGAAAUCGACUGACAAAAAUACCCUGUGAAAUACAUCCCCUGAUUCCUUAAUGUCAUCCUCUUUAAGAACCAGAUUUUCUCACUGCCUAAACUACUCCCUGAUUGUAAAUUAAGCACCAUGUGCAUAACUUGCUUGACAGUAUUCUAGUGAUCUCAGGUUAACAUUUAACUAUUAACAGAAAAUAGGAUUCCAGGUACUAUGGCCUGGGAAGAGUACCAUUAGGGUACCAUUUAGUGAAUUCUGUUUAAGACUUAUAAUAAAGAAGUAACUUAAGUGCUGGAGGAAUCUGAGCCAAUGAAGAAAUUGAUGUGAAAAGAAUCUAUCCCUUGGGCUGGGGUAUUUUAUGUUUCAAUAUUGAAACUUGAACAUUUUUUGCAUCAGAAAAGUUAUUCUUAGUUGUUGGCAGAGUAAAUCCAUGUUAUCCUGCAUUCUGAAGUAGUUCAGCUGAAUCUAAUUAGAACAUCUGCAGAUUUAUGCAGCUUUCUGUAUAUUAAAGUCCCUACCCUUGUGAAAUAAAUAUUUCUCUUCAAUCCUUUAUUUUUACCCAUCUGAGUGUUAAUCAGACUAAUAUGGUAUAAAUUUUAACAACCACUUUUAUGAUCCUAGGAUGAAUGGUGCACUACAAGUCUAAAAUAUCAAGACCUUAUAAAUAGUGUCAGUGUGCACUGGAUUUCAAUGCCUUCCUACUGGCCAUCAAUUUUGGCUUAGAGAAAGGGAAACAAUUAUGAACUCAGCCCUUUGCUUCUUGUUAUUAGUUUUUCAGAGAUUUUCAAGGUGAUCCAUGCAUUCCUAGAAUAUUAAGGAAAACCUCUUUGGUUUCAGUGUCUCUUGAUAAAAAAUUCAUUGACUCAGGUAGGCAAUUAGAUCAAAAAAGGUCAAUUUGUUUUUGCAACUUAGAUAAAUUACUCAGACUAAUAGAGAAAAUGAGUGUUUUGCUAGAGUUAACUUUAAAAUACUCCAACCCUCUUGGUAAGCAAGUCUGCCAUGUUUCUUGAGUAAUACACUUAGACGCUAUACUUCACAUUGGGACCUUCUUUUUUCCUUUUUUAUCUUAACCAACCUUCUGUAUCAGAUCAGGCUUACCUCAAGCAAAUGAGUAACUUCCUCCUUAGUUGUAUAACACCUCAAGGUGUUACCAUGUAGUCUGAAAUUAAAAUUAGUCUGAAUUUUUCUGGCUGAGAAGCAGCACAAUCAAAAGAGGCUUAAUCCUCAAGUUCAGAUAGCCCUGUUGAAAUUCCAGCUUCAUCACUGAGUAGGUUUGAACAACUGGACAGCAAUCAAACAAUCCUGAAGCAUAAACUCUUCCUGGGUAUAAUGGAAAUAAUAAUAUUUAAUUUGAUGCAUAACCAUAAGAAUUAAUUAAAAAGAUGGAUGUAACUAGGACAUAUUCAAUAAGACCCAACAUAAAGACCUGGAGGCCUGAAAAGAGGAGCAUAGAAAAAGAGAUCCUUUUUCUUGGCAAUUAAAAAGAAUGUAACCUUUGUUUAAUUUUUUUAAAGACAUUAUCAACUCCCCCAAAAAUUGUUAUAAACAAACUCUGUCAACUUCUUCUAGUCAAGCAACACUUUAAACCAAUGACUCUCAAAAUACAGUGCCUGGGCCAACAGGACCAGCACUUGAAAAAUUGUUAGAAAUGCAAAUUCUUGGGCCCCAUUCCAGGCCUAUUAAAUGAGAAACUUGGAGGGUGGGGCCCAGCAACCACUCUUUAAAAAGCCCUCCAAUGCAUGCUCAAAUUUGAGAAACACUGUUUUAAGCCUUCCUUCAAAUGUCAGCAUAAACUCUAAGGCUUCCCCUAUAAGGAUGUGAAGAUCCUAGUAGACUUGCUAAAGGACCUGAAUCCCCACUUCCUCCCUCUUGGCAGUCCUCUCCUGCUCUUUAUUCAGGACUAAUUGAUGUUCACACUGGCCAAUUAGUCAAUGCUACAAUUCAAAUAGCCCCAGCUGGAGCCAAAAUUAACAUGAAAGCUUUCCUAAAAUAUUUGCGUGUUUUUUUUUUUUUAACAUUAUACAUGUUCCUAUUUGAAAAACAAGGAUUGGGGCCUAUUUUUAUUCAAGUAUGAAGGUAUGUUCAUGGGUUCCUUCCUCUCUAUAACCAUGUUAUAUGCUCAUCAAACACAAACACUGCUAAAAGUAGUUUAAGACUUCUCUACAAGUAGAAAAUAAAUAUGAUAAAAGUAGAUGUACAUCUUCAUUAUAUAACCACCCUAAUGUGCUGAUCAUGUCCAUCUUGUUCAUUCUAUUCGACUAAUAGUUAUCAGGCACCUAACAGGUGCUAGCACUAUUCUAGGUAGGUAUAGGGAAUUCAGCUGCAAACAAGAGAGACUGGUUGGGGGUGGAGGAGAAUCUCUUCCUCCUAGACCUUGUACUCUAGCAAAACAAAACACACUACAAAAAAAGUCAACAAACCAAUAAAUUGUAAGUACAGAUUGUGUUAAGUUACUCUGUAAGAUAUAUGCAGGAUGAUGUGAUAGUCUGGUGUAAACAGUGGCUUCCUUAGACAGGGUAGUUGGGAGGGCCUCUUUAGGGACAUCAUACACAAGCUCAGUCAAGAAUGGAAAGAACAAGUUUUAUAGAGAGGUAGAGGAAGAUGGAGGGUUUAGGCAAAAAUCAGAGCCAGCAACAGUUUGGGAUUUUUCAAGACAUGAAAGAAAGCCACAUUGAGUUAAUGGAGAAGAGUGUUGGGGAAAUAGAAUUAAAAACAAAAUCUUCUCCCAAUCCAGGAAACCUCUCCACAAAUGUAGAUGAGAAAGAGAACAGUUUUAUAAUCGAACAAGCAUUAAGUCAGAAUGUGACACUCAUCACAAGCAAUCCACUAAGUGAUUCCAAAGACUGCAAGCCAUCUCACCCCUCUACAUGGCCAAGUAGAUACAACCCAUUACAUACAUAUUCUGAGGAUAAACAACUAGUCAAGUAAGAGGACUUGACAGCACCAUUUGUCACACAGUUGCUCCUAAAUUUACUUAGUAGUGGGGUGACCAUCUGUGUUAGCUAAUUGGCUUUAUUCAAAGGAAAAAUAAACUUCUCUUUAUGACAAGAAGUAGUUUUAAAACUUGGAAUGAGGCGCCUGCUGUAGUUAAGUUCUAUCCUCCCACAGACUCUGGGAGUUAGGUAAGGGGCUCUAUCUUCCUUAAUGAUGACAUUUCAAAGAGAUGGCUCCCAGGGCCUUGAGAAACACAGUCCUGGGUCCUAAAGCUAGUAAGAGUCUAUUUUAGCUUUUACAGAGAUUUACAUACAUUUCAAACAGACAGUGGAAGAACUUAUGAGUUUUUUUAAAGUAAGUGUUCUAAGAUUAGGGAAGGAAAGGCAGUCCCAUCCCUUAUUUUCAACACUGAGAAUGAAACUCCUCGUUUUUGGUUUGUUUUCGCCCUUCCACAAGGCAUGAAUUAAAGUACACAGGGGCUAGAAUACACAAUGUGUAUUUCCUCAGAGAGAUGGAAACUCACUGAAGGUUUGUGGCAAGACCUAUUACACUUACAAGACACUCAGCCCCCCGCCGGAUGUUCUGUGAAGAACAAACACAUGACUUUGGUGACGAUUCUUGCCAAAAAUGCAUAACUUCAA
rnacentral:lncRNA from 1 species